UACGGAGGGUGCAAGCGUUAUCCGGAUUCACUGGGUUUAAAGGGUGCGCAGGCGGAUUUGUAAGUCAGUGGUGAAAGCCCCGGGCUCAACCUGGGAAUUGCCGUUGAUACUGCAAGUCUUGAGUAUAGUUGAGGUGGGCGGAAUACAUCAUGUAGCGGUGAAAUGCUUAGAUAUGAUGUAGAACACCGAUUGCGAAGGCAGCUCACUAAACUAUAACUGACGCUCAGGCACGAAAGCGUGGGUAUCGAACAGG
rnacentral:rRNA from 1 species